UGACCCUCGGGUUAGUGGAACUUAUGGCAU
rnacentral:piRNA from 1 species